rnacentral:rRNA from 1 species
GUGCCAGCAGCCGCGGUAAUACGGAGGGAGCUAGCGUUGUUCGGAUUUAUUGGGCGUAAAGAGCUCGUAGGCGGUUCAACAAGUCGGUCGUAAAAGUUUAGGGCUCAACCCUAAAAUGUCGAUCGAUACUGUUGUGACUAGGAUACGGUAGAGGUGAAUGGAAUUCCGAGUGUAGCGGUGAAAUGCGUAGAUAUUGGGAAGAACAUCGGUGGCGAAGGCGAUUUCCUGGGCCAAUUCUGACGCUGAGGUUCGAAAGCGUGGGUAGCAAACAGGAUUAGAUA